GACACCAUGACUGAGAGGACUAAGGUGCUGGAUUGCUAAUCCAGUGGGGUUUCCCUAUGCAGGUUUGAAUCCUGCUGGGGUUG
rnacentral:tRNA from 1 species